GCACAGAAUUCUAGCCCAUAACGCCUAGUUAUACCACACCCUCAAGGGUACUCAGCAGUGACAAAUAUUAAACAUAAGCGUCAGCUUGAUUUAGUUAAAGAAAGUUAGAGCCGGCUAAUCUGGUGCCAGCCGCCGCGGCUACACCAGCAGGCUCAAGUUGAUAAACACCGGCGUUAAGCGUGAUUAAAGAAAACCUAAAUUAGAGUUAAACAUGCAUUUAGUAGUGAUAAGCUUAUUACCUGGAAUAACAAAAACGAAAGUUACUCUAAUUCUGCUUGAAUACACGACAGCCAGGGUAC
rnacentral:rRNA from 1 species